rnacentral:lncRNA from 1 species
GUCGGGCAGGAUGGGCGGCUCAUCGCCCACCUGGAGGUUGAAGUAGACGGUUUUGUGGGAGAACGUGGAAAACUCAUUGCUGAAGCAGAAGGUGUAGAUCCCCGUGAGCUCAGUGUGGUGCGGGAAGCUGUCGUACUGCUUCUUGGUCUCCCUGUAGAUGGUGCGGCCGUUGGGGUCCUCGAUGUAGCAGUCGACAUCGUAGUGGCCCCCAGUGAUCACCUGGUAGUCCAGCGUGAACUUGAGGCCUCGGUCCAGCUCUUGGUGGAAGCACUGCUUGUCGCUGUCGGGCAGCUCGAAAGUGAGCUCGGUGCCGCUUGCGCGCAGCGCGCCCAGCAGCAGGGCCAGCGCCCAGCCCCGCAUCCAGCCCCGCAUCCCGCCC